rnacentral:lncRNA from 1 species
CGGUGUUGGCCCAGGGUUUCAGUGUUGACGACCGACUGCUUUUCUUUCGAGUGAUUACUGCCUUUUCUUUUAUUAUUAUUGCCGUGCUAUAACCUUAAAGAAAAAAUUGCUGUGCUAUCGGGCCAAAUAAUUUUCAACACAACAAUAAUAGAUAAAAAAACAAUUAAAAAUUACCGACUGAUUUCCACUUACUCUGGAUUGCAACACUGGAUCCCCUCCCUCCCCAUUCCCACUGCAACCUUUAAUCUC